rnacentral:rRNA from 1 species
GCAAGGAAUCUUGGGCAAUGGGCGAAAGCCUGACCCAGCGACGCCGCGUGAGGGAUGACGGCCUUCGGGUUGUAAACCUCUUUUCUCAGGGAAGAAUAAUGACGGUACCUGAGGAAUAAGUCUCGGCUAACUACGUGCCAGCAGCCGCGGUAAUACGUAGGAGGCGAGCGUUAUCCGGAUUUAUUGGGCGUAAAGUGGGCGUAGGUGGUCUUUCAAGUCGGAUGUGAAAUCUCCCGGCUCAACUGGGAGGGGUCAUCCGAUACUGUUGGACUUGAGUACAGCAGGGGAAAAUGGAAUUCCCGGUGUAGUGGUGAAAUGCGUAGAUAUCGGGAGGAACACCAGAGGCGAAGGCGAUUUUCCAGGCUGAAACUGACACUGAGGCCCGAAAGCGUGGGGAGCGAACAGGAUUAGAAACCCCUGUAGUCC